rnacentral:rRNA from 1 species
GUCUACAGCCAUGCCACCCUGAACAUGCUCAAUCUUGUCUGAUCUCAGAAGCUAAGCAGGGUCGGGUCUGGUUAGUAUUUGGAAGGGAGAAUUAAGUGAUAUACUGGAAGUACCCAGCUCAGGUGACC